CUGCAGCUCAAGUGGUGACCACUAUUAUUGGGCCUAAAACGUUCGUAGCCGGUUUGGUAAAUGCCUGGGUAAAUCGCGUAGCUUAACUAUACGAAUUCCGGGUAGACUGCCAAACUUGAGACCGGGAGAAGCUAGAGGUACUCCUGGGGUAGAGGUGAAAUUCUGUAAUCCUGGGGGGACCACCAGUGGCGAAGGCGUCUAGCUAGAACGGGUCUGACGGUGAGGAACGAAGCCCUGGGGCGCAAACCGGAUUAGAUACCCGAGUAGUCC
rnacentral:rRNA from 1 species